UACGUAGGGGGCAAGCGUUGUCCGGAAUCAUUGGGCGUAAAGCGCGUGUAGGCGGCUUUGCAAGUCGGGUGUGAAAGCCCUCAGCUCAACUGAGGAAGUGCGCCCGAAACUGCAGAGCUUGAGUGCCGGAGAGGGUGGCGGAAUUCCCCAAGUAGAGGUGAAAUUCGUAGAUAUGGGGAGGAACACCGGUGGCGAAGGCGGCCACCUGGACGGUAACUGACGCUGAGACGCGAAAGCGUGGGGAGCAAACAGG
rnacentral:rRNA from 1 species